UACGUAGGCGGCGAGCGUUGUCCGGAUUUACUGGGCGUAAAGGGCGUGCAGGCGGUCUGUUAAGUGCAGGGUGAAAGCUCCCGGCUCAACUGGGAGAGGUCCUUGCAUACUGGCGGACUUGAGGGGGGUAGAGGAAAGUGGAAUUCCCGGUGUAGUGGUGAUAUGCGUAGAUAUCGGGAGGAACACCUGUGGCGAAGGCGGCUUUCUGGGCCCUACCUGACGCUGAGACGCGAAAGCGUGGGGAGCGAACCGG
rnacentral:rRNA from 1 species